rnacentral:rRNA from 1 species
ACUCAAAGGAAUAGACGGGGACCCGCACAAGCGGUGGAGCAUGUGGUUUAAUUCGACGCAACGCGAAGAACCUUACCUGGGUUAAAUCCUGAACCGCAGCCUCAGAGAUGAGGUCUCCCUUCGGGGGGUUCAGGAAGGUGCUGCAUGGCUGUCGUCAGCUCGUGCCGUGAGGUGUUGGGUUAAGUCCCGCAACGAGCGCAACCCUUACCACUAGUUGCCAGCGGUUCGGCCGGGCACUCUAUUGGGACUGCCGGUGACAAACCGGAGGAAGGUGGGGAUGACGUCAAGUCAUCAUGGCCUUUAUGUCCAGGGCUACACACGUGCUACAAUGGCAGGAACAAAGCGCUGCAAGCCCGCGAGGGGGAGCCAAUCGCAAAAAUCCUGUCUCAGUUCGGAUUGGAGUCUGCAACUCGACUCCAUGAAGCUGGAAUCGCUAGUAAUCGCGGAUCAGCACGCCGCGGUGAAUACGUUCCCGGGUCUUGUACACACCGCCCGU